CGGGACGUAGCGCAGCUUGGUAGUCGCGCUUGGAUGGGGUCCAAGAGGUCGCAAGUUCAAAUCUUGUCGUCCCGACCA
rnacentral:tRNA from 1 species